CUGAGACACCCUGGCUUUAAAUACGA
rnacentral:piRNA from 1 species